rnacentral:rRNA from 1 species
GGAAUUGCUAGUAAUCNCGAAUCAGAAUGUCGCGGUGAAUACGUUCCCGGGCCUUGUACACACCGCCCGUCACACCAUGAGAGUCGAUAACACCCGAAGCCUGUGAGCUAACCUUUUAGGAGGCAGCAGUCGAAGGUGGGGUUGAUGAUUGGGGUGAAGUCGUAACAAGGUAGC